rnacentral:lncRNA from 1 species
UUUUCAAGAACUAAUAAAAAUAUGUUGAUUAGAUAAGUUAAUCAAGCAAAAGUCUUCAAAAACUAAUUAAGGUCUGCGGGAGCCUUCAAAAGUUGCCGGCUUUUGAAGGUUUCUCGCAGGUCAACUUUAGUAACGAAAAAGUCUGAGUUUCUCAGUAACUAAUUAAGGUCUGCGGGAGCCUUCAAAAGUUGCCGGCUUUUGAAGGUUCUCGCAGGUCAACUUUAGUAACGAAAAAGUCUGAGUUUCUCAGUCAUCGGAAAAAGAUAAGUUAAUCAAGCAAAAGUACAAGCCAAAAGUUCUCAUAAAAUAUUCUAUGUACAGCUUUGAAUACAGUCAA